rnacentral:rRNA from 1 species
GAUGAACGCUGGCGGCGUGCCUAAUACAUGCAAGUCGAGCGAACAGAUGAGGAGCUUGCUCCUCUGACGUUAGCGGCGGACGGGUGAGUAACACGUGGAUAACCUACCUAUAAGACUGGGAUAACUUCGGGAAACCGGAGCUAAUACCGGAUAAUAUAUUGAACCGCAUGGUUCAAUAGUAAAAGACGGUUUUGCUGUCACUUAUAGAUGGAUCCGCGCCGCAUUAGCUAGUUGGUAAGGUAACGGCUUACCAAGGCAACGAUGCGUAGCCGACCGGAGAGGGUGAUCGGCCACACUGGAACUGAGACACGGUCCAGACUCCUACGGGAGGCAGCAGUAGGGAAUCUUCCGCAAUGGGCGAAAGCCUGACGGAGCAACGCCGCGUGAGUGAUGAAGGUCUUCGGAUCGUAAAACUCUGUUAUUAGGGAAGAACAAAUGUGUAAGUAACUAUGCACGUCUUGACGGUACCUAAUCAGAAAGCCACGGCUAACUACGUG